rnacentral:tRNA from 1 species
GACCUCGUAGCUCAGUUGGCUAUAGCGUUGGCUAUAAGGCCCUCCUUUUGCUGGCAUGGGUUCGAAUCCCACCGAGGCCG